CAGUAGUUUGUCACUUGUGUCUUAUGAUGAAGCUUCAUAGGGCAGAUUCUGAGCUGAGAAAUUAAAUUUCUCUCCACUGAUACUUGCUGUAUGCCAUCUGAAGACACUAUACAUUGC